UACGUAGGCAGCAAGCGUUGUUCGGAGUUACUGGGCGUAAAGGGUGUGUAGGCGGUUGUUUAAGUUUGGUGUGAAAUCUCCCGGCUCAACUGGGAGGGUGCGCCGAAUACUGAAUGACUUGGAGUGCGGGAGAGGAAAGUGGAAUUCCUGGUGUAGCGGUGAAAUGCGUAGAUAUCAGGAGGAACACCGGUGGUGUAGACGGCUUUCUGGACCGUAACUGACGCUGAGACACGAAAGCGUGGGUAGCAAACAGG
rnacentral:rRNA from 1 species